GAUGAACGCUGGCGGCGUGCCUAAUACAUGCAAGUCGAGCGAACAGACGAGGAGCUUGCUCCUCUGACGUUAGCGGCGGACGGGUGAGUAACACGUGGAUAACCUACCUAUAAGACUGGGAUAACUUCGGGAAACCGGAGCUAAUACCGGAUAAUAUAUUGAACCGCAUGGUUCAAUAGUGAAAGACGGUUUUGCUGUCACUUAUAGAUGGAUCCGCGCCGCAUUAGCUAGUUGGUAAGGUAACGGCUUACCAAGGCAACGAUGCGUAGCCGACCUGAGAGGGUGAUCGGCCACACUGGAACUGAGACACAGUCCAGACUCCUACGGGAGGCAGCAGUAGGGAAUCUUCCGCAAUGGGCGAAAGCCUGACGGAACAACGCCGCGUGAGUGAUGAAGGUCUUCGGAUCGUAAAACUCUGUUAUUAGGGAAGAACAAAUGUGUAAGUAACUAUGCACGUCUUGACGGUACCUAAUCAGAAAGCCACGGCUAACUACGUG
rnacentral:rRNA from 1 species